UAAGAAUCGCCGUUAAUCUCGUGUCAAGACAAACUGAAAUGUAUAAUACUUCUGUCUAGGAAUUAUACAAGCUAAUAUAUGACGUUGUAAAAUCGAUAAAGUAUAAAUGAGAUCUUAGAUAUGUAUAUCAUAUCACGGUCGUACAACAAAAUAAUUAGUUUUAUUGUUACACAUUGUUUUGUGCUUCAAGUAUAGGAAUUGAUUCAAUAUUUCUUGAGUUCUCAAGUCGUGUGCUUAAAAUAAGUAAAAGUUUGUUGUGUCGAUGCAGGUCUCGAUAUCGACUUGUAAUGUGUCAGCAAAUGACUUUCAUGAUAAGAUAAUCUAAAUUUGUUGUAAAUAUAAAUUCAUAUAUGAAACAGCUUCAGUAUGCUUUACAUGUAUGUUCUGAUCUACUGCUUUGCAAUAUUUUUUUUUACAUAUCAAAGAGAAUGUAUUUUCAAGUUGGAAAGAACCGGUGAUUUCCAUGUAAUUUUUUGUAUCUUUUUUUUUCAGCUUAUCUAAUCUUCCCCAACGUACUCUAAAGAGAUCCUGUACAACUACUACGGGGGACAGUAUAACGAUUAAAUAUAGUAUACAACUGUUACGUCCUUUUGGGAGUUAUCGCAAACAUACUUGGUGUACCAAGAAACGCAUCCGUACACUGUGUCAUAGCAACGUACACAAAGAGGAAGUUUCCUUUGGAACGAAGAAUUUUCAAGAUAAAUACAUUUGGCAGUUUGUAUACUCAACACAUUAUAUGUAUACGGAAGAGUAAAUUUACCAAAACCGAAAUGUCAACACAGCACUUGCAAAAUUGUCGAGUUUUGCGAAAGAGGAGAGAGACGAUACGGAGGACGUGAAUAAAAGAGAAUAAACGAAGAUAAGAAAAGAAGGUGAAAAGAUAAAAUGAACGACAGCCGUACCUGGUGAUGAGACAGCGAAAAGAUGAGGUUUACAGCAGAUAAUUUAUUUUAUCUGAAGCCUCGGGUAUUAUUUAAACCGGCAAACGAUAUGAAAUAGCCCACGGAUCGAUAUUAUAACGUAAAAAUAAAUAUUUUGCCCAGAAUAACGAAUACACUCGUAUAAAUGACUAUAUUUGCACGACGGUCUUAAACCGUUUUAGUUAAUUCUGAUCCAAAGGAACAGACAAGUAAUACACAUUUCUACUUGUAAAGAAUAUUUGGGACUGGUCAAUUCCUUUAGAAUAAUAUUAAUUAAACGUAGUAAAUAAUAUCAAAGUGCGUAUGACCGUUUAUCUUAAUAAUCGAGUCUCCAGUCUGUUCCGUGCCAGACACUAGUUUAUUAUUACAUAAUUGCAUAAUUUAUAGUUAAAAAUCAAAACUCUAUCACACGUUAAAUCUUUUUAGCAUUUCAAGGUAUUAAAUCUGACACACAGUAAACAACUGUUUCGUCUCGUAAACACUCUAUAUCCUUGUUCACCAGCAGUGAUUAACAUUACAAUUACAUAAAUGCCAAUCUCCGCAGUGUCUGUUAUUGAAAAGAAAAAAAAAGUGCAAUUAUCUAUGCACACAUCAACCAUAAAUAUUUGCCACGUUAAAUACCAGCAACGUUCAAUAUUUUCCACGCGAUAAAAACCUUAUUGAGCAACAAUACAAAAAUUUAUAACCAAAGCAUAUACUGGACAACGAUACAAUUAAAUGCCAGCAACCAACCACAGUCGUAACUCCUCCCGGCUAUCAAAGUAAAAGCAAUCGUGUUGGACCACAAAAUGUAUAGGGCCAUUCAGCCUCCUGGUGCACUAGAGAGUGCAACUUUGGGCGAGUACUGUCCGAAGUAAAUAAACAACUGGUGUUCACCGAUACAGCAAAUGGAACGACUAGGGCUGUACGAACAAUAUUGCACAUCCCUGCCACUCAUUGAUAUAUUGUCAAUGCAUACGUAUAUAUAUAUAUAUAUAUAUAUAUACCUAUGGAUCUAUAAACUAUAGUAUAAAGUA